rnacentral:lncRNA from 1 species
CCGUUAGUCUUAGGGUUAAUUAGAGAUAAGGGUCGCUUGCUUAGGGGUCAAGUAAGCCUUGCUUGGGAGUCAAGUAAACCUCUCUAUAUAAAGAGAGGAGAUGUAUCAAUCUAAUCAAGCAAGAAUUAAGAAGGAAAUCGCUUCCCUCUUGCCCGGCCAUGGGCAAAAAAGGCCCCCGGCCGGCCCUCUCGCGCCCUCCUUCUAGCAGCCACAUAACAAUUUGGUAUCAGCUAGCUUCGGUUCGAUCAUGUCUUCACCGCUGCCAAGCCCGUCUCUUCCGAUGCCGGUCACCUCGUCACCUCCAGCGACCACCACGACCGUCGCCCCGCUCCUGCCCGCUCCGGGAUCCUCCGUCGCGCCCGCCCCCGCCGUCCUCAACUCAGAGGAGGUGCUCGUUGUGUUGCGGGACCUAACCCAGGCGGUCUAGGAGAUCCACAUGUUCUUGGUCGGGUCCUAUGGGCCGUCCCCGGUUGUGCUGCCCAUCGCCGCCCUGCGCCGCCGUGGCUGCCGUGGCAGCCGCCGCACCAGGCGGCCUUUGCCAAGCCGCUGCAGCUGCCAUCCAUCACCACCACCGCCCAGCUCUGGCUGAAGUGGCAGCCGCCGCUCCUAGCGGCCUCUGCCGCGCCCGGCGCUUUGCUGCAGUAGCCGCUGCCGCUGCCCAGCGCGACACCGCAGCAGCCACCGCCGGUCAGCUCCGCCGCCCAGUAUGGGAUGCCCUACGACGGGACUGCGAUGACCUUGUUCCCAUCAGCGUCGUCGCCAUCCCAGGGCGUCCACAUCCAGCAGAUCAAGUCCCCGCCGCCGCAGUCACUGCUUCCGUCUUGUAUCGCUACCCGCCACAUAUCGGCGGCGGUGAGGCUGCAGGCUGCUACGCGCGGCCUCAUAGCGUGUCAGCGUGUGCGGGAGAUGCGUGGUCUGUAGUUGCUGCUCCUCCAAGUUGCCCUUCGCUGCACAAAGGACCUCGAUCUCGUCCGCUGCGUCGAGGAUCUUGGGCAUGCGGUUUCCCCAACGGGCGGCGGGCAUGCUGUUUUCCCCGUGGGCAGCGACCUCAAAGUCUGUGACAUCGGCGGUUGGGGGGGCGCACCCCUCCUCGACAUUUUCCAUCGCAAGCCCUCCACUCUUCCAUGUGCAAUGCAGACCAACAGCCAUACACAUGCACUCCUUUUGUCCACGUGGUAUCCAUGGGAUCCAGGUGGCUGUACACGUGCAUGUCCAAAAUAAAAGCGUCCCAGUCUAUUUCAGUUUGAGAGUAAUAACACAAGCCGAGAUGUAAAAUGCUUGUUUUUAGGUGUUAGGUUUGUGUUGCGUAGUCAUGGUUAUAAGUUGGUUAGGCUGCAGCUCGAGGACAAGUUGCAUGUCCAGGUGGGGUGUAGUGUUAGAGUACGUAAUGGGCCUGGGCUGGCGGUAUAGCCCGUUAGUCUUAGGGUUAAUUAGAGAUAAGGGUCGCUUGCUUAGGGGUCAGGUAAGCCUUGCUUGGAAGUCAAGUAAACCUCUCUAUAUAAAGAGAGGAGAUGUAUCAAUCUAAUCAAGCAAGAAUUAAGAAGGAAAUCCCUUUCCCCUUGCCCGGUCGUGGGCAAAAAAAGGCCUCCGGCCGGCCCUCUCACGCCCUCCUUUUAGCAGCCACAUAACAAUUAGUGUUAGAGUAUGUAAUGGGCCUGGGCUGGUGGUAUAGCCCGUUAGUCUUAGGGUUAAUUAGAGAUAAGGGUCGCUUGCUUAGGGGUCAAGUAAGCCUUGCUUGGGAGUCAAGUAAACCUCUCUAUAUAAAGAGAGGAGAUGUAUCAAUCUAAUCAAGCAAGAAUUAAGAAGAAAAUUCCUUCCCUCUUGCCCAACCGUGGGCAAAAAAGGCCCCGGGCCGGCCCUCUCGCGCCCUCCUUCUAGAAGCCACAUAAAAACCUCACAAUUUGGACAAGUAGUGAUCUAAAGCGUCUUAUAUUUGCUUACAGAGGGAGUACAUAAUAUGAAAAAUAUUGUAAACGUACUAUAUAAUACACAGAGUAUGUGAGGUCAACUCAACACUUAAAAUAAUCAAACUGUACUUUAUUAAGUCUCCCNN